UACGGAGGGUGCGAGCGUUGUCCGGAAUUACUGGGCGUAAAGUGUGCGCAGGCGGCAGAGCAAGUCGAGUGUGAAAGCCCCGGGCUUAACUUGGGAAUUGCGCUCGAAACUACUUUGCUGGAGUGUGGCAGAGGAAGGUGGAAUUCCACGUGUAGCGGUGAAAUGCGUAGAGAUGUGGAGGAACACCAAUGGCGAAGGCAGCCUUCUGGGCCAACACUGACGCUCAUGCACGAAAGCGUGGGGAGCAAACAGG
rnacentral:rRNA from 1 species